CGGUUAGCCUGUUAAUGGGCCU
rnacentral:siRNA from 1 species